UGGGUGAUCUGCCCUGCACUUUGGGAUAAGCCUGGGAAACUGGGUCUAAUACCGAAUACACCCUGCUGGUCGCAUGGCCUGGUGGGGGAAAGCUUUUGCGGUGUGGGAUGGGCCCGCGGCCUAUCAGCUUGUUGGUGAGGUUACGGCUCACCAAGGCGACGACGGGUAGCCGGCCUGAGAGGGUGACCGGCCACACUGGGACUGAGAUACGGCCCAGACUCCUACGGGAGCA
rnacentral:rRNA from 1 species